ACAAGAUAUAUGAAAGAAAUGAAAAAUAAUAAUUGAGAAAAAAACGAUACAAUCUAAUAUCAUCAUUUAUUUAUUCUUCCACUGUUUUGUUCUUCUG
rnacentral:ribozyme from 1 species